rnacentral:rRNA from 1 species
CCUACGGGAGGCAGCAGUGGGGAAUAUUGCACAAUGGGGGAAACCCUGAUGCAGCGACGCCGCGUGAGUGAAGAAGUAAUUCGUUAUGUAAAGCUCUAUCAGCAGGGAAGAAAAUGACGGUACCUGAGUAAGAAGCCCCGGCUAACUACGUGCCAGCAGCCGCGGUAAUACGUAGGGGGCAAGCGUUAUCCGGAUUUACUGGGUGUAAAGGGAGCGUAGACGGCAGUGCAAGUCUGGUGUGAAAGGCGGGGGGUCAACCCCCGGACUGCUCUGGAAACUGUACGGCUGGAGUGCAGGAGAGGUAAGUGGAAUUCCUAGUGUAGCGGUGAAAUGCGUAGAUAUUAGGAGGAACACCAGUGGCGAAGGCGGCUUACUGGACUGUAACUGACGUUGAGGCUCGAAAGCGUGGGGAGCAAACAGGAUUAGAUACCCCUGUAGUC